GAUGAACGCUGGCGGCGUGCCUAAUACAUGCAAGUCGAGCGAACAGACGAGGAGCUUGCUCCUUUGACGUUAGCGGCGGACGGGUGAGUCACGCGUGGGUAACCUACCUAUAAGACUGGGAUAACUUCGGGAAACCGGAGCUAAUACCGGAUAAUAUUUCGAACCGCAUGGUUCGAUAGUGAAAGAUGGCUCUGCUAUCACUUAUAGAUGGACCUGCGCCGUAUUAGCUAGUUGGUAAGGUAACGGCUUACCAAGGCAACGAUACGUAGCCGACCUGAGAGGGUGAUCGGCCACACUGGAACUGAGACACGGUCCAGACUCCUACGGGAGGCAGCAGUAGGGAAUCUUCCGCAAUGGGCGAAAGCCUGACGGAGCAACGCCGCGUGAGUGAUGAAGGUCUUCGGAUCGUAAAACUCUGUUAUUAGGGAAGAACAAACGUGUAAGUAACUGUGCACGUCUUGACGGUACCUAAUCAGAAAGCCACGGCUAACUACGUG
rnacentral:rRNA from 1 species